AUUUAUUUUAUUAGCUUCGCCACAAUAGGCGGGGUAGCUGCAACAGCAUGUCCAUUUACUGCGGAUCCUUAUCGCUGAAUUUGUGGAAAGCAACGUGAAACCCUUACAGGUGAAUACCUUGAUGAGCGUGUCUUGUGUGACGGGUCGCCUGUGUCGUAGUUCUGAUACGAUCUCGUCCUGCAAUAACCACGUGAUGCUGUCACAUGUGACGUUCAUAGCCAAUCGCUGCUGGCUUGGGAGGAUUCGCAACGGAUCGCGACCGUUAAUUCUGGGACAAGCAAAGAAGGAAUAGUUGGAAAUAAUAGUUAUCCACGACGAACCAGAAGUAGACAAAACGCAAUAGGGUUUAGAGACAAAAAAAAUGCAAAACGGAACCAAGAAUAAGCAAUUAAACAUAACAAUUCAAAUACAUUUGGGUAACACAACAAUAAUGACAAAAUAAUUAAUAAAGUAGACUCUGCCCGCAGUGUUAACGAGAAUAUCAGAGGGAAUGCAUGUGCAUUCGAGCCCGUGUGUAUGAAAAAAACAUUUUGUUUCUACCAUUAAAAAAUCACAUUUAAAUA